CACGACUAAAGGCACAGACCGAUAGCAGUUGAAUUUGUGAAUAAUUUAAGGAUUAAUUGAAAUGUAUUUAGGAAAGUAUCCGUCACUGGAGACAAAUGCUGAACUUGCACUAAUGAUGGUGCAUGCGUGCCAGCAAGGAAUAAAUGAUCUCUGCUCAGAUUCUUGCUUGAGUGAGUAUCUCCACCAGCCUCAAACUUUAAAUAUUUAGGAGGUGUCUGGGGACAUUAAGUGGUGGAGAAGGGAGAGAGGAAGAAGAGACUCUCAAGCCCAGUGGAGAGAAACUUCAAAGCAUCAGCAAUUUAUCUGAAAAUCCUUAAUGGUUCAAAUUACCCAAGAACCUCAAGAAGCACUCAGUGAGGGGUGAAGAAGUAGUAGUGUGACUUAUGUAUGACUGACAAGGAGGGAGCAGGGUCUCCCCCAGUAUGCAUUUCUGCAGGUCUUCGAUUAGAAUAGCAAGUUAAAAUAUUCUUUUAGGAGUCUUUCCAAAAAAACAUGUUUUUCUACAUCCAAGCAUCUUUGUAGGAAAAGACUUCGUAGGAAAGAACUUCAUGGGCUUUUUUGUUAUUUUCUUUCCUCCUUGUAUAUAAAUGUUAAUGGAAUGGGCUGGAAUAACAAAGGAUAAGCAUUUUUUUUUUUUUUUAAAGCCAUUUCUGAUACAGAAAGCUUCCCCAAAGCCUCUGCUGUGCAGAGAAGUGAUAUCUCAAGCUACAGACACAGCUACCACCCGCAACCAAGAUCUUCACUUGGAAACGAGACCGAGCUGUGAGCCCUCCCCACUCCCACUCCUCGUGGCUGGGCUUGCAGGGAGCUGUGCAGGGUGCUGGGGGUGCUGCACCCAGGGAUGCUCUGCGUGGCUCCAUCCAUCACACGGCACGUGCCCUCCCUGCACCACGACCGUCGACAGCUUCAGAUUUUCUCAAGGGUUCCCAUUUUACAAACACAACUCUUCUGUUCAUCAAGCUACAGUGCAGGAAUAACUUAGCUGGCAGCUCGUCAGGCUGAAAUCUGGAGCUGCAGUAACGGUUGCUCGUUUGGUAGGACUGACGAGCUUAAUUACAUGCACCACAUGACUCGAGUUCCAAACAGUUGUAUUCUCAUUUUAAUUAAGCUGUAUGUGAGUCGAUAGUUAUCUCCUCUUUCCUCACACUCAGCGUUAGCUUUCCUUCAUGAGCAGCAUCCUUGAUAAUGAAGGAAAAAAGUUAUUUGAAGAAAAAUUUAUUGCUCAGUAAAAAAGUGAAGCCUUGCACAAAGCAUCCCAACGAGUACCAGGGAGCUAUGGGGAGGGAUUUCUUCCAUUUACAUCUUUUCCCCAGGUUUUGAUGCCUCUGCAAACACUGUCACUAUGCUGGUGGAUGAGCCUCCAAAUGACGUGCACAUGUGUGUCUGAGUGCUUCACAGACUUGUGUGAGGAGAGAGCAAAUCCUCUUCACUAAUUUGGUGUUGGAUGCUUAAUGGGUGUUAAAUUUAA